rnacentral:rRNA from 1 species
GACGAACGCUGGCGGCGUGCUUAACACAUGCAAGUCGAACGGAAAGGCCCCUUUGGGGGUACUCGAGUGGCGAACGGGUGAGUAACACGUGAGUAACCUGCCCUUGACUUCGGGAGAACUUCAGGAAACUGGGGCGAAUACCGGAUAGGAAUCCGGGCUGCAUGGUGGGGGUUGGAAAGCGCCGGCGGUUUUUGAUGGAGUCGCGGCGGAGCAGCUUGGUUGUGGGGUAGUGGCUUACCAAGGCUUUGACGGGUAGCCGGCCUGAGAGUGCGACCGGCGACAUUGGGACUGAGAGACGGCCCAGACGCCUACGGGAGGCAACAGUGGGGAAUAUUGCACAAUGGGCGGAAGCCUGAUGCAGCAACGCCUCGUGCGGUAUGACGGCCUUCGGGUUGUAAACCGCUUUCAGCAGGGGCGAAGCUUGUGGUGACGGUACCUGCAGAAGAAGCACCGGCUAACUACGUG